rnacentral:lncRNA from 1 species
UGUAUAGUUCUAUAAUCUUAUUGUUUAGGCAUAAUAUACGUAAUGAUUAAUAUACAUUGAUUUGUUUUAUAUAUUUUAUUUUUUUAUUAAUUUUUAUUACUUAUUAAUAUAUUUCUUAGUUCAGCACAAUAAAUUCACAAUCUAAAAUAAUCAAAUACACAGUCUCCUAUAAUAUAAUUUUUAAAUUUCUAUAGUUUUAUACAAUACAUUUUAAUAUUAUUUAGUUAUACUAUAGA